UUGUCACAUUAUAAACCUCUCACUUUCCCGUACCAAAGCUCAUAGAGAAAAUCCACUUCUGCCUCCAUCAGUAAAUUCAAAUGUCUUAUUUUUUCAGAUUGACCUCAAGAUGCAGCAGAAGACCUGCAGAUGUUGUGUCCCUCAUGGGCUUAAAACGAGGAUUUUCUUCACGGACACCUUUUUCUGCCUGGAUACAGAAGUUUGCGUCUCCUGGUAAUCCGCCGACUCUCCUGCGUCGUCCAUCCACUGCUGCCUCUAACCUACAGCUGUAAAACAGGAGAGAAAAGAAACCAGUCAUCCAUCCAUAUGGCUUCCACGUGACUGGCUGACGUAACCGAGCAGUUGAAGCGUACCCAAUAAAGUGGCUGAGUGUUGAGGUGUGUGUGGGCGGAGCUCUAUGCUUAAAUUGGAUGACGAUUCCUCUCUGACACGUGUGUUACUUCUCAGAAUGAUGGUGGAGACAGGAAGUAGCUGCAGUAAUGGUUCCCGCUAGUCUCCACCCCCUGGCCUCUGAUGGCUGUGCUGGCAGCGUGUGAAUGGCUAUGAUAUAUGGAAUUGGUGGGGAAUCACUGGAGGCUCCUGUCACCCAGACGGACAUAGACGCGACACAAGGUAAUCUCUCUCACUCGCUCGCGUC